ensembl:misc_RNA Metazoa_SRP Metazoan signal recognition particle RNA
GCCGGGCAUGGUGGCACGUGCCUGUAGUCCUAACUACCGGGGAGGCUGAUGUGGGAGGAUCAUUUGAGCCCAGGAGUUCAGGGCUGCAGUGAGCUGUGAUUAUGCCACUGCACUCCAGCCUGGGCAACAGAGCUGAGACCCUGUCUCUG